rnacentral:rRNA from 1 species
AUUGAACGCUGGCGGCAGGCCUAACACAUGCAAGUCGAACGAGUGGCGGACGGGUGAGUAAUGUCUGGGAAACUGCCUGAUGGAGGGGGAUAACUACUGGAAACGGUAGCUAAUACCGCAUACCAUCAGAUGUUCCCAGAUGGGAUUAGCUAGUUGGUGGGGUAACGGCGCACCAAGGCGACGCUCCCUAGCUGGUCUGAGAGGAUGACCAGCAACACUGGAACUGAGACACGGUCCAGACGCCGACGGGAGGCAGCAGUGGGGAAUAUUGCAGAAUGGGCGCAAGCCUGAUGCAGCCAUGCCGCGGGUAUGAAGAAGGCCUUCGGGUUGUAAAGGACUUUCAGCGGGGAGGCGUUACCCGCAGAAGAAGCACCGGCUAACUCCGUGCCAGCAGCCGCGGUAAUUC